GAUGAACGCUGGCGGCGUGCCUAAUACAUGCAAGUCGAGCGAACGGACGAGAAGCUUGCUUCUCUGAUGUUAGCGGCGGACGGGUGAGUAACACGUGGAUAACCUACCUAUAAGACUGGGAUAACUUCGGGAAACCGGAGCUAAUACCGGAUGAUAUUUUGAACCGCAUGGUUCAAAAGUGAAAGAUGGUCUUGCUGUCACUUAUAGAUGGAUCCGCGCUGCAUUAGCUAGUUGGUAAGGUAACGGCUUACCAAGGCAACGAUGCAUAGCCGACCUGAGAGGGGGAUCGGCCACACUGGAACUGAGACACGGUCCAGACUCCUACGGGAGGCAGCAGGAGGGAAUCUGCCGCAAUGGGCGAAAGCCUGACGGAGCAACGCCGCGUGAGUGAUGAAGGUCUUCGGAUCGUAAAACUCUGUUAUUAGGGAAGAACAUAUGUGUAAGUAACUGUGCACAUCUUGACGGUACCUAAUCAGAAAGCCACGGCUAACUACGU
rnacentral:rRNA from 1 species